CGACUUUAAACUAACCGAUAUAAUAAUACUCUAAAUGUUAAUACGUUGACAGCAAAAUACAGUGAAUUCGUAUAAAUAUCAUCCCGACUUCAACGCAUCGUGCACCAUCACCAUCAUCGCUGCUCUACAUUCUCCAAUGACAUACCCACUAGAUGGAGCCAUAAAUACUUGAGUGACUUAAUCCUGUCCAACGAGUGUUCCGGUAUCAAGAGUGACAUAUAUUACUGGAGGAGGGGCCUAUUGGAGAUAAAGUGGCUUGUUUAGUCUCACUAUAAAUUUUGUAUAAGACUUGUUACAAUGUAAUCCCAACGUUAAUGAAUAUUGGAAAGGAGAGGUUAGCUUGCGGUCCGUCAGCUGGAAAUACUAAAUAAGAACUAUGUACAUAUAUAGGGUUUUUUGAAAUUACAAUUCAGUAUAACAAUUA